GAGCGUAGGCGGGUUUCUAAGUCAGGUGUUUAAUCCCGGGGCCCAACCCCGGACAGGCACUUGAAACUGGGAAUCUUGAAUAGUGGAGAGGUCAGUGGAAUUGGGGGUGUAGCGGUGGAAUGCGUAGAGAUCCCCAAGAACACCAGUUGCGAAGGCGGCUGACUGGACACAUAUUGACGCUGAGGCUCGAAAGCAUGGGGAGCAAACAGGAUUAGAUACCCUGGUAGUCCAUGCCAUAAACGAUGAAUACUAGGUUUUGGGCCCGUCAACGGUCCAGAGCCGCAGCUAACGCGUUAAGUAUUCCGCCUGGGGAGUACGGUCGCAAGACUGAAACUCAAAGGAAUUGACGGGGGCCCGCACAAGCGGUGGAGCAUGUGGUUUAAUUCGACGCAACGCGAAGAACCUUACCAAGGCUUGACAUGGGGAAGACCGGACGAGAGAUCGUCCUUCUCUAGCAAUAGAGCUUCCCACACAGGUGCUGCAUGGCUGUCGUCAGCUCGUGUCGUGAGAUGUUGGGUUAAGUCCCGCAACGAGCGCAACCCUCGUUUCUAGUU
rnacentral:rRNA from 1 species